rnacentral:rRNA from 1 species
GACGAACGCUGGCGGCGUGCUUAACACAUGCAAGUCGAACGGAAAGGCCCUGCUUUUGUGGGGUGCUCGAGUGGCGAACGGGUGAGUAACACGUGAGUAACCUGCCCUUGACUUUGGGAUAACUUCAGGAAACUGGGGCUAAUACCGGAUAGGAGCUCCUGCUGCAUGGUGGGGGUUGGAAAGUUUCGGCGGUUGGGGAUGGACUCGCGGCUUAUCAGCCUGUUGGUGGGGUAGUGGCUUACCAAGGCUUUGACGGGUAGCCGGCCUGAGAGGGUGACCGGCCACAUUGGGACUGAGAUACGGCCCAGACUCCUACGGGAGGCAGCAGUGGGGAAUAUUGCACAAUGGGCGGAAGCCUAAUGCAGCAACGCCGCGUGCGGGAUGACGGCCUUCGGGUUGUAAACCGCUUUCGCCUGUGACGAAGCGUGAGUGGCGGUAAUGGGUAAAGAAGCACCGGCUAACUACGUG